rnacentral:lncRNA from 1 species
AUUACCAAGGCAUCAGGGCAGAGACUCCCUGAGGCUAUGCUAGAAGGGUACCAUUUGAAAAGGAAGUGUAUGACCCACCGUGAAAUGGAACUGGUAGCUGGUCACCCAGGUGCUCUUCCUUGUUAACUGAUGAGAGCGAUUAUUAUGUGAGAACUUUAACAACCUGCCAAAGGAUCCCGGGGCAAGAAUGAGAGCUGAACCAUUGAAAAGCUGAGCAUCGAAGUGCCUGGGAAGCCCAAAACUCAGCACAUUCAUGCUUUUGCUGGUUUUUGACCAUUGAGAAGAAAAAAGAGUCAGCAACCAGGGAGCAGGAUGAGUGGAUCUGGUUCAGAACAUCUGUGAACACAGAGGGAGUGGAAACUUCACUUUCAACAUCAUCAGCCAACUUCCCUCCCAUUACAAUUCUAUCUCAAGAUCAAGGUCAUGCAACAAA